GGCGCUGCGAGUUGGGGCGAGGAGAGGCUGCGAGAGCAAUGCAGUAAUAUUUCUCCUGCCUUCAGUGCUUCCUCCUCCUCCUCCUCCUCGUUCCCAAGAUCUUGCCUUUGUCUUUAAUUACGAAGGUUUGCGUUCAGCCAGGAGGCGCUGCAGGCAGAGCGUUGGGCUUCAGGAGAAUAUGUGAGCCGGUCCAGUUCGACUCUCACUCCCGCGCUGAAGCAGACCUCCCUCCAACGUCUGCAUAAACGGAGGACGAUGACGGGUCUAUUUGGGCGUGAAGGACAGCUACAUGUGGAGGUGACCCGCUGCUUGAUCCGGGCUAUCCAAGAAACGUGGGGCUAUCGAGAUGCAUGCAGAUGAGCUGCAGGACGGGGCAGGGCAUCGCAGCGAAUCAAAGUUCUGGGAAGGCAGGCAGGGAGCAAAGGUGGAAGGAAGACUGUACAAGAUUAAAAGGACCAUGUCUUCAGCAGCAUGGCAGACAUAAAUGUGUGGUGCACAGCCAGGUGUAGUAGCCUUCCAGCAUAUCAGCACUUCGUGGACAGAUUCCUUGCACAAUGUGGUGCGCGAUACAUGACCCAGCGGGCAGCCAUACUUCAGGAGCUACCUGUUUGGGAGAAAAGGACACUUAUAAUCGUUGUUCCUUUUGAGUCAUGACAACAGAGUUUCAUUUUUUUUCCACAAAUGUACUUCAUCAAAUCAAUGGUCAAUAAAAGGGUGUUGGUGAG